GCCUGCCUAGCUCAAUCGGAUAGAGCGUGAGACUUUUAAGAACCAGAGUAUCUGGGCGGAAUCUCAAGGCUGCGGGUUCGACCCCCGCGGUGGGCU